rnacentral:rRNA from 1 species
GACAGAGGGUGCGAGCGUUGUUCGGAAUUAUUGGGCGUAAAGGGCGCGUAGGCGGCCUUCUAAGUCGAACGUGAAAUCCCCGGGCUCAACCCGGGAACUGCGUCCGAUACUGGAAGGCUUGAAUCCGGGAGAGGGAUGCGGAAUUCCAGGUGUAGCGGUGAAAUGCGUAGAUAUCUGGAGGAACACCGGUGGCGAAGGCGGCAUCCUGGACCGGUAUUGACGCUGAGGCGCGAAAGCCAGGGGAGCAAACGGG